AAAGGUUGUGAAGCGCCAGGACUGCGGAAGAAGAACCGCAGUUGACGAGGUGGAGGGGAAUCGAGGUUUCGGCGGAUCCCUCCCGGCUUUUGCACCGGAGCCGAGGGACCGGAACACAAAAGGACAGGGUGACCUGUCUCACAAAAGUUCCGGUACGGUGCGCC
rnacentral:ncRNA from 2 species